CGUCCGCUGCAACAGCAUCGCGCACUAGGAAGUCAAUAGUUCGGGAAAACUUCACCCUCAACAUGGCCCGAAAAAAACUACCUGCAUUAUGUGUACGGCGGACCCGCUGUACACUGGUCCGCUCGUCAGACCCGCGUACAGCCGGGCAGGACGCACCCGCUUUACGCUGGUCUGCUCGGCUGACACGCGCAUUUGAGGAGGAGGUUUGACAUCGUAACGUAAACGAUGCGGACUCGCCUCGAGGAAGUCACCUGAUGAAGGGAUGUGACCUCACGACCUCUGACACAACUUGUUUACUGACAAACAGCUGGAACUCUGUCUGAAGACGUCCUGAAGUGUCUGUGAUCCAGUUUAAUGAGGAAUGUUACAUAUUAUAUCUUUAUGUGUAAUUUGUGAUAUAUCUCCUUCAUAAACACAAAUUCGUAUUUCUGUUUGUAAUAUUUAUAAAAUACUAUUACGUGAA